UUAAAUUUCCGACAAGGUAAAUACUAAUUUUUAGUGAUGAUAAUAAAUUUAUUUACUGAAAAUAUGUUGAUAAACCCUUGGCUGUCUGAAUUAAUUGAAUUAUUUAUUUAUUUAAACAAUUAAUUUAUUUUAGAUCUUAUUUAUGGAAUAACGUUGUGGGAUAUACUUGAAGAAUCUUACCUUUCAAGAAGUAAAAAUUAGCUUAUAUGAAAAUGAUGAUAAUUCCAGUUCUGCUACUGAUAAAAAUGAACGAAAAUUUAUUAUUCUGAUUUAUAUAUAUAUAUUUUAUUUAAUAUUAAUUUUGUGAUUUCUAUUUUUAGAAUAAUGAAUAUCAGCAUUAUAGACAAUUUCCAAUAAUUUAUUAUGUUAAAAAUAAAUUUGUUAUUGAUUUUUUA